UACGAAGGGGGCUAGCGUUGCUCGGAAUUACUGGGCGUAAAGGGCUCGUAGGCGGCCAACUAAGUCCGACGUGAAAUCCCCAGGCUUAACCUGGGAACUGCGUCGGAUACUGGAUGGCUUGAAUUCGGGAGAGGGAUGCAGAAUUCCAGGUGUAGCGGUGAAAUGCGUAGAUAUCUGGAGGAAUACCGGUGGCGAAGGCGGCAUCCUGGACCGAGAUUGACGCUGAGGAGCGAAAGCUAGGGGAGCAAACGGG
rnacentral:rRNA from 1 species